CCUGACUCUGUACCCGGGACUACCAUAAAGGAAAAGCCCGUCCUUUGAGAUCAUGAAAGAACUAGUUGCAAACAAAUCGACCAAUUAACCUAGGAAUUUUAACUCAGAUCAUCUUCUUCUUCCACGAAUUCAGAGCAGGCGCAGCUUUCCUGUAACUGAAUCCACUGACGCUUUUGACCCAGGUCCAAUUGCAAGAACUGUCUUUGAUCCAGCUGAAACCUGUGUUCGCCCAGCAUCUGCGACAACAAAAG
rnacentral:misc_RNA from 1 species